AACGAACGCUGGCGGCAUGCCUAACACAUGCAAGUCGAACGAGACCUUCGGGUCUAGUGGCGCACGGGUGCGUAACGCGUGGGAACCUGCCCUUAGGUUCGGAAUAACUCCCCGAAAGGGGUGCUAAUACCGGAUAAUGUCUUCGGACCAAAGAUUUAUCGCCUUUGGAUGGGCCCGCGUUGGAUUAGCUAGUUGGUAGGGUAAAAGCCUACCAAGGCGACGAUCCAUAGCUGGUCUGAGAGGAUGAUCAGCCACACUGGGACUGAGACACGGCCCAGACUCCUACGGGAGGAAGCAGUGGGGAAUAUUGGACACUGGGCGAAAGCCUGAUCCAGCAAUGCCGCGUGAGUGAUGAAGGCCUUAGGGUUGUAAAGCUCUUUUACCCGGGAUGAUAAUGACAGUACCGGGAGAAUAAGCUCCGGCUAACUCCGUG
rnacentral:rRNA from 1 species